GCCCCGAGCGUUGCUCGGAUUCAUUGGGCGUAAAGGGUGCGUAGGCGGCGCGGAAAGUCCGGCGUGAAAGGCAGGGGCUCAACCUCUGGACUGCGUUGGAUACUUCCGUGCUUGAGGACUGGAGGGGAGACUGGGAAUUCGCGGUGUAGCAGUGAAAUGCGUAGAUAUCGUGAGGAAGACCGGUGGCGAAGGCGAGUCUCUGGACAGAUCCUGACGCUGAGGCACGAAGGCUGGGGGAGCGAACAGGAUUAGAUACCCUGGUAGUCCCAGCAGUAAACGAUGUGAGCUUGAUGUGGGGGGAUUCGACCCCUUCUGUGUCGAAGCUAACGCGAUAAGCUCACCGCCUGAGGAGUACGGCCGCAAGGCUAAAACUCAAAGAAAUUGACGGGGACCCGCACAAGCGGUGGAGUAUGUGGCUUAAUUCGAUGCAACGCGAAGAACCUUACCUGGCCUUGACAUGCAUUGUGUCGUCGGUGAAAGCCGGCUAGUCCUGGAAACAGGACGCUUUGCACAGGUGCUGCAUGGCUGUCGUCAGCUCGUGUCGUGAGAUGUUGGGUUAAGUCCCGCAACGAGCGCAACCCUUGUGGUCAGUUACUAACCGGCUUAGCCGGAGGACUCUGGCCAGACUGCCCUGUCAAACGGGGAGGAAGGUGGGGACGACGUCAAGUCAGUAUGGCCCUUAUGGCCAGGGCUGCACACGUACUACAAUGCCCGGUACAAUGUGAACCGAAACCGCGAGGUGGAGGAAAUCGCUCUUGAAAACCGGGCCCAGUUCGGAUUGGAGUCUGCAACUCGACUCCAUGAAGUCGGAAUCGCUAGUAAUGGCGUAUCAGCAACGACGCCGUGAAUACGUUCCCGGGUCUUGUACACACCGCCCGUCACAUCAUGGAAGUCUCCUGUACCCGAAGCACGUGCGCCAACCUUUCAGGAGGCAGCGUUCGAAGGUAUGGGAGGUAACUGGGAUGAAGUCGU
rnacentral:rRNA from 1 species